AACGAACGUUGGCGGCGUGGAUUAGGCAUGCAAGUCGAGCGAGGAAAGGGGAGCAAUCCCUGAGUAAAGCGGCGAACUGGUGAGUAACAGGUGGGUAAUGUACCUUUCAGUGGGGGAUAACACUUGGAAACAGGUGCUAAUACCGCAUACGGUUGCGAGGGAUGCGUCCCUUUUGCCAAAGGUGCCAUAGCAAUGUGGUGUCGCUGAAAGAUCAGCCCGCCCUGAUUAGCUAGUUGGUAGGGUAACGGCCUACCAAGGCUUCGAUCAGUAGCUGGUCUGAGAGGAUGGUCAGCCACACUGGGACUGAGAUACCGGCCCAGACUCCUACGGGAGGCAGCAGUCUAGAGGCUUCGGCAAGUGGGGAAACCCUGACCGAGCGACGCCGCGUGCGGGAUGAAGGUCGUGAGAUUGUAAACCGCUGUCGGCGGGGAAUAAGGCCCGAAUGGCGAAUUCGGGAUUGACGGUACCCGCAGAGGAAGCCCCGGCUAACUCCGUG
rnacentral:rRNA from 1 species